GACGAACGCUGGCGGCGUGCCUAAUACAUGCAAGUAGAACGCACAGUUUAUACCGUAGCUUGCUACACCAUAGACUGUGAGUUGCGAACGGGUGAGUAACGCGUAGGUAACCUGCCUGGUAGCGGGGGAUAACUAUUGGAAACGAUAGCUAAUACCGCAUAAUAUUAAUUAUUGCAUGAUAAUUAAUUGAAAGGUGCAAUUGCACCACUACCAGAUGGACCUGCGUUGUAUUAGCUAGUAGGUGAGGUAACGGCUCACCUAGGCGACGAUACAUAGCCGACCUGAGAGGGUGAUCGGCCACACUGGGACUGAGACACGGCCCAGACUCCUACGGGAGGCAGCAGUAGGGAAUCUUCGGCAAUGGACGAAAGUCUGACCGAGCAACGCCGCGUGAGUGAAGAAGGUUUUCGGAUCGUAAAGCUCCGUUGUAAGAGAAGAACGGGUGUGAGAGUGGAAAGUUCACACUGUGACGGUAUCUUACCAGAAAGGGACGGCUAACUACGU
rnacentral:rRNA from 1 species